rnacentral:rRNA from 1 species
UGGGGAAUAUUGGACAAUGGGGGGAACCCUGAUCCAGCCAUGCCGCGUGUGUGAAGAAGGCCUUAUGGUUGUAAAGCACUUUAAGCGAGGAGGAGGGUACUGGUAUUAAUACUACCAGCUACUGGACGUUACUCGCAGAAUAAGCACCGGCUAACUCUGUGCCAGCAGCCGCGGUAAUACAGAGGGUGCGAGCGUUAAUCGGAUUUACUGGGCGUAAAGCGUGCGUAGGCGGCUAAUUGAGUCGGAUGUGAAAUCCCCGAGCUUAACUUGGGAAAUGCAUUCGAUACUGGUUAGCUAGAGUGUGGGAGAGGAUGGUAGAAUUCCAGGUGUGGCGGUGAAAUGCGUAGAGAUCUGGAAGAAUACCGAUGGCGGAGGCAGCCAUCUGGCCUAACACUGACACUGAGGUACGAAAGCAUGGGGAGCAAACAGG